AAGUUGAUCAAAUAAUGAAGACUGAAUUAAACUAUAUACUAGGAAUCUCCGACCUGAAGCCACAGCUGUGGUUAAUACUAUAACUUCCACCACUCUCUGCUCCUGAGGAUAUAAAUAGAGAGAAGUAGCGUUAUGAUGUAAUUCAGAUGAAAAGCAUGUGCAUAGUUAUCUCAUGGUCAUCAAGACCAGUUUAGAAAGUCUGGUGACAGCAUGGACGCAGAAGCCAUUUAAAAUAAUUUUAGGGCAGUCUGUUGCUUAGAAAGGCCCUACUGCAGGAGCUCCCACACAUCUACCACCUCUACACCCUUGAGAUGGAAUAUCUCCAGGCACAGCCUGGCAAUCUGCUUCUCUAUAUCUUGCUAAGUGGGCUGCUCCAAGGGAACUGAAGUGAAACCGUCAAAGGGAGCAUCAAAGGAGCUGUAAAAGGAGUCGAAGCAGCUAAAGGAAACUAAUGCCGCAGAGGAGAAUGAAGGAGCUGCAGUCACCAAGGUGGAAGAAGACCCCCUACCAAACUUUAAAGCGAUUCGGCAAACAAACCGCGAAAUUGCUCCAACAUUCGUAUGUGCCGCUUUGCCAGUCUCAUAUUACUGAAGACCAGGAAGAUGGCUGCCAUGAAGUACGAUCCCUGAAUCUGCAC